ACCUACGGGGGGCAGCAGUAGGGAAUCUUCCACAAUGGGCGAAAGCCUGAUGGAGCAACGCCGCGUGGGUGAAGAAGGUCUUCGGAUCGUAAAACCCUGUUGCUAGAGAAGAAAGUGCGUGAGAGUAACUGUUCACGUUUCGACGGUAUCUAACCAGAAAGCCACGGCUAACUACGUGCCAGCAGCCGCGGUAAUACGUAGGUGGCAAGCGUUAUCCGGCUUUAUUGGGCGUAAAGGGAACGCAGGCGGUCUUUUAAGUCUGAUGUGAAAGCCUUCGGCUUAAUCGGAGUAGUGCAUUGGAAACU
rnacentral:rRNA from 1 species